GUCCACGCCGUAAACGAUGCGUGCUAGACGUUGGGGCUUGCCCUUCGGUGUCGUCGCUAACGCAUGAAGCACGCCGCCUGGGGAGUACGGUCGCAAGAUUAAAACUCAAAGGAAUUGACGGGGCCCGCACAAGCGGUGGAGCAUGUGGUUUAAUUCGAAGCAACGCGCAGAACCUUACCAGCCCUUGACAUGGGCGUCGCGGGGUCGAGAGAUUGGCCUCUUCAGUUCGGCUGGACGCCACACAGGUGCUGCAUGGCUGUCGU
rnacentral:rRNA from 1 species